rnacentral:rRNA from 1 species
CCUACGGGUGGCAGCAGUGGGGAAUAUUGCACAAUGGGCGCAAGCCUGAUGCAGCCAUGCCGCGUGUGUGAAGAAGGCCUUCGGGUUGUAAAGCACUUUCAGCGGGGAGGAAGGCGGUGAGGUUAAUAACCUCAUCGAUUGGCGUUACCCGCAGAAGAAGCACCGGCUAACUCCGUGCCAGCAGCCGCGGUAAUACGGAGGGUGCAAGCGUUAAUCGGAAUUACUGGGCGUAAAGCGCACGCAGGCGGUCUGUCAAGUCGGAUGUGAAAUCCCCGGGCUCAACCUAGGAACUGCAUUCGAAACUGGCAGGCUAGAGUCUUGUAGAGGGGGGUAGAAUUCCAGGUGUAGCGGUGAAAUGCGUAGAGAUCUGGAGGAAUACCGGUGGCGAAGGCGGCCCCCUGGACAAAGACUGACGCCCAGGUGCGAAAGCGUGGGGAGCAAACAGGAUUAGAUACCCUAGUAGUC